rnacentral:snoRNA from 1 species
UACAUGAUGACUUUAAAUAAUCAAUGGGAAUCUCUCUGAAAAAGAAUGAGGGAAAACCUUUCUUAUACUGACUUUGUA